rnacentral:lncRNA from 1 species
AGAAUAUGCUCAAACAGUGUUUAUUUAUUCUGACGUAAUUUGAUUAAUUUUAAAUCACGAAUGACUUAUAGCGACCUUUUAACUCGAGCGUCCAAUAGAAUCACAUGAUGCUAACGUGUGAGUGGAAGUUUUGUCUCGUCAUUGAGGACCACACUCGUGGUAGCGUACAGCGUUAGUAGUCCACGGCUCCAAGUCGGGAGUAUAUAUCUUUUGUUCAUGCUCCAAGCUCCCCAGAGUCGAUCAUCAAUAGUGAAGCGUGUAACCAUGGCUACUAUAGCUUCUACUUGCCAGCUCCUGUUUUCGCACAAAACCACAGUCAGUCGAAGCUUUGAGAGGAGAAUCGCAAGUAGGACUCACCAGAGAUGCCUCGUCACAGCGAAGGUUGCCAAGCAAAAGAGCUCCAGCGUUGCCACCGCGCCUGCUUCUCUAGAGAUCGCCCCGGAUGUUGCGACGCAGCGCGGUGUUUCAUCGCCGGUCCUUCUUGAAUGCGUCCUGGUCGUGUACAAGAAGAACGUGCUAGAUCUCGUUGACGUCCUCGCGGAUUUCCGGGACGACGCCGCCGAUCUUCUGCUCGGCAAGAAGGUGACGGUUCAGCUCGUGAGCGAAGAACUGCUUCCUGGUAAGCACGAAAGCGGUUUAGAUGCUGAACUUAGCUUCUUACCUGCCUUUGGUUCUCUACAGGCACCCAGGAACCGAAGAUGAGCGACGUGGUGCCGAUAAGUCACUGGUAUUGUGCUCGAGACAGAAUCGAAGCGAGCGGAUGUAUCACACACAAAGUCCAGAUAGUUGUAGAUAAGAGCUUCGGGACUGUUGGGGCUGUUCGUAUUGGCAAUG